GACUCGAUCUUGAGUCAAUCAACUUCGGAUAAUCCGCGCUCUGUCCAACUCGAGGUGAAGGAACUCUCACAUGCACCUCAGCCAACAACAGCUCACCGUGCUUCGUGACUUAGCCACCUGGCGGCGAAAUCGUCGCACACGCUCAGCCAUGACUCGAGUCACCCGGCGGUAUAAUCCACAAUCCGACUCAACUAUCCGGCGGCGAAAUCGUCGCACACGCCACGACAAUGAUAUAGCCCCGGGCGGCGAAAUCGUCGCACACGCCCCACACCUCUCUCGGUGUGAUCCAUAAGCUCUG
rnacentral:lncRNA from 1 species